rnacentral:lncRNA from 1 species
CUGAGUUUUUAUUGGCUGAAGUUAUUUUUUCAUGUCCUGCUGGAACAAAAUAUGGUCCUGGGAUUCUGGUAAGUAUAAACCACCUCAUUCAUCAGCAGGUGGCCCAGAACACCAGGGGAAGCUGUGCUGGAAAAUGAAGACAGGCCCAUCUCUACUUACCAAUGUCACUGUCUCACCAGUGCCUCUCGCUGUCCUCACCAGUGCUUCCUGUCUCACCAAUGCCUCUCUCUCACCAGUGCGUCUCUCACCAAUGCCUCUCUCUCUCUCACCAAUGCCUCUCUCUCACCAAUGCCUCUCUCUCACCAAAGCCUCUCUCUCACCCAAUGCCUCUCUCUCACCAAUAGCCUCUCUCUUCACCAAUGCCUUCUCUCUCACCAAAGCCUCUCUCUCUCACCAAUGCCUCUCUCUCACCAAAGCCUCUCUCUCUCACCAAUGCCUCUCUCUCACCAAUGCCUCUCUCUCUCACCAAUACCUCUCUCUCACCAGUGCCUCUCUCUCUCUCAUCAAUGCUCUCUCUCUCACCAAAGCCUCUCUCUCUCACCAAUGCCUCUCUCUCUCACCAAUGCCUCUCUCUCACCAAUGACUCUCUCUCACGCCAAUGCUCUCUCUCUCACCAAUGCUUCUCUCUCUCACAACCAUGCCUCUCUCUCAACCACUGCCUCUCUCUCUCACAAAGCUCUCUCCACCAAGCCUCUCUCUCUCACCAAAGCCCUCUCUCUCUCACCAAAGCCUCUCUCUCACCAAUGCCUCUCUCUCAUCACCAGUGCCUCUCUCUCACCAAUGCCUCUCUCUCUCACCAAAGCCUCUCUCUCACCAAUGCCUCUCUCUCUCACCAAUGCCUCUCUCUCACCAAUGCCUCUCUCUCUCACCAAAGCCUCUCUCUCUCUCAUCAAUGCCUCUAUCUCUCACCAAUGCCUGUCUCUCUCUCAUCAAUGCCUCUCUCUCUCUCACCAAUGCCUCUCUCUCUCUCAUCAAUGCCUCUCUCUCUCACCAAUGCCUCUCUCUCUCACCAAUGCCUCUCUCUCUCUCAUCAAUGCCUCUCUCUCUCACCAAUGCCUGUCUCUCUCUCAUCAAUGCCUCUCUCUCUCUCUCACCAACGCCUCUCUCUCUCACCAAUGCCUCUCUCUCUCACCAAUGCCUGUCUCUCUCUCAUCAAUGCCUCUUUCUCUCUCUCACCAAUGCCUCUCUAUCUCACCAAUGCCUCUCUCUCUCUCUCUCACCAAUGCCUCUCUGUCACCAAUGCUGCUCUCUCACCAAUGCCUCUCUCUUACCAAUGUCUUUCUAUCACCAGUGCCUCUCUGCUGACCAGUGCUUUUAACAUCCAAAUAAACAAGGUGCUUACACUUCCUCCACUGGUGGUCAGGCUAUCACAGAUAAGGCUGGAGUCAUCCAGCAUUGGCUAAGGUUUAAUGAGCACUCACCAGAGACUGGGUCCUGCUUGGGUGCUAAGGAUAUACUAGGGUAGGGAAGGAGAGUGGCAGAUGCGGGUGGGUAGAGGAUGCCCUUCUGAGGGUAGAGCCCAGUCAGGAAGAUGAACAUCUAGUGGAGAACUCCAGGUGGGAGGAGGUCACAGAGAUAGCUACAAACCCCUUGACCCUGGCUGGGCUGCCUUCCUCAUCCUCUGAAGCCUCUUUCAGAAAUUGCCACUCUGCCUUAUCAAAGGAGGGCUGGGACUGCCGAGCUCCACUGAGGUGCCCCAGGGAGUGAGCCCUUUCCCCAGAGGCUCAGGCUCAGUAGGAAAUGGUUAGCAACAAAGGCUUGAAAGAAGCAGCAAAACGCCAAACCAAACCACAAACAAAAGCCCUUGAGGCCAGGCAAAGACAUUAUCAGGAGCUGAUAGGAUCUUUCUGUUUUAAUUAGUAUGUGCUGAUAGGAAAUCUCCAAGCAGCUUUGCUGGACUGCUUGCGGGUCAGCUCACCUCCAGCAGGCAACGACGUCCUGUGACCACCUCGCUUUAAGGCUUAUUUCCGUACGGUCUCCUGGGGAGGAAAAUGUCCCCUCGGAGACCAGCAGGUCUGACAAACGAGCUAUGAGAUGUCCAAGGCGGGUGAGGACCAGGGCUCCUGACGGUCCCACAGCCCAUUGUGUCCGGAAGGAUGCCGCCCUGGGGACCUGACACAAUGGCACCUUGGUUGUGGCCAUCCAGGCUGGCAGCUCACGGAGGCACAGUGGGGUUUCCUCAUUUCAAAUGCCUGACCCCUUUACAGAAGCAGUUAGAAUGGCCAGCUCAUGGGUGUGCUACUUUUGCUUUGGAAAAUGGGUCCAGGAAUGUAUUUCUCUCCCUAGGGACUGAGAAGGAGGAAGAAUUGUGCAGCGGGGAGAGUGCGGGCCCCAGUGGAGGGGAGAGGGGAGCCCCUUGCCCUGCCUGCAGCAGUUGCCCCUGGAAAGCAAGGAGCGUUGGGAGUCUGAGCUGGAGGCUGCGGGGCCAAUUCCCUCUUGGCAGGAGAGGAUCCGGGCUGGAGCAGAUUUUAGGCUUCAGUGUUUGUGAGAGAAAACACAGCAAUCAUACUAUUAAUAGUACAUUAAAAUAAAUGGGCAACUGCUGUCUGGUAAUACUUGCUUAAAGGCAAAAUACAAAAAUUAAUAAAUAGUGAAACAGAAAAACAAAACAUGAAACGCCGGCAGUCAACAGGCAGCCAAAGAACAUGGGGCUGUGGGUAGCAGCGGUCCCACCCUCCGAAGGGCUGGGCUGCCCAGAACCAGAGAAAGCGAUGCAUCUCCUCUGGUAACGUCUUUUCCUGUCCCAUGGAUUCAAGGCAGACCUGCC